GUUUCCGUAGUGUAGUGGUUAUCACGUGUGCUUCACACGCACAAGGUCCUCGGUUCGAUCCCGGGCGGAAACA